CUCUGGACCGAUGACUCCACUUUGUCCUCUUCAUUUUGUGCUUAUAAAGGAACACCCAUCACAAAAAGCACACCAGCGGCAUCACCUUUGUAAUUGAACUUACCUAGUAUCUCCUUAGAUUUAUAGCUACAUUCAUGGUGUUGCAUCCUUUAUUUACUGACACAGUAAAUAAGAACUUGGAGGUUUGACCCAUGCAAGAGAGAACACACAAAUCGCUUUUAAAUAUGGCAAAAUGGUCUUUUGUAAAUAUUCCGUAAUGGUAGCUUUGAAUGCACCCCACUUGCUGGAGUUAUUUAGGGCAUAAGCUAUAGGGUGGCUUUCACAAGUCAAUUUAACCCUCCUUCCUGUCUCUUUUCUGUUGUUCUGUUUAUAACCAUAAUUCAUGUUUAUGUUGAUAUUCAAGUGUUACAAAAUCAUAGCAAUUAAGAGAACAAAAUUAAAUCAGAGUAUUUAAUGUGAAGCAGAAAAAUAAUAAGAAUAAGAAUAAUCUUCAUGGUUCCUGCUCAUGUCACUUUAAAGCUAGUUUACAAUCAGUCCUCCUGUGAGAAGUGCCUUAUUGUUGAUUUAAAUGGAGGCCCAGUGAGUAAAUAUAGAGACAAGUUCUUGGGGCUUGUGAGCAAAUGACUUCUUAGCUUCUCUGUAGGUUAUUAAAAAGACUUAAAAGUUUUGCGUUGCUACUGCAGCUCGGUAAUUUUAGACUCUGGGCUUAAUGGUCUUUUGGGUGGGUGGCUUUUUAGAAGGCAAUUAGUGUUACUUUGUGUAUUUCAAAAUGCAUUUAGGGUGUGCGGAUCAGCAAAACUCGAACUCAUGUAAGUUCUCCAAGCUCCAUCUCCAAGUUCUUUCUAACUCCAGUCCUUAUCAGAUCAUGGGCUCGCUCACUCGCUUGCUUGCUUGCUUGCUUGCUUGCUUGCUUGCUUGCUUGCUUGCUUUCUUUCUUUCUUUCUUUCUUUCUUUCUUUCUUUCUUGGCAUGAAAAUAUUUUUGUAUUUUUUCCAGAUGUACACAUCAGUGGUGCACACCUUUGGCAUGUACACAUUGACGAGAGUGUAUUUCUUCACCCUUUUCCAAAAGAGCAAAGCCCCAGCAACCAGACAUCAAUAGCCAUGAUGCAGGAGCCCCAGGAAAUGGUGGAGGAGACGGUCACCGUAGAGGAAGACCCAGGCACCCCGACCUCCCAUGUUUCCAUCGUGACUUCAGAAGACGGGACCACAAGGAGGACAGAGACCAAGGUUACAAAAAUGGUCAAAACAGUCACAACCAGAACCGUGCGGCAGGUUCCCCUUGGCCCCGACGGCCUCCCUGUGAUGGAUGGCUCCUCUCCCAUGGGCAGUUACACUGACUCCAUAGACAGAAGACACAUGAAGAACGGGGAACGGUACAUCACGCCACAAGCUUCCUCCACCUUGACCCGGUCGUACAACAGCUACAAUGACACCUACCCUGACGGCCACGAAGGCCAGUAUCGCCCUUUCGUGGGCCACGAUGGCUACGGAGACCUCCAGGAGAACUAUGGGAGCUUGUCCCGCGGGGUGAAUUAUCGUCCGCGCUAUGCCUACGUCCCUGGGAACAGCUACCGGCCAGAGGAUGGCAGCUUCACUUUGCCGAGCAGAAGGGACAACUUCGGCCCCCUGCCCCAGCCCCAGGUGCCCACCGGAAGCAACGCAGACCUGAACCGCUCCCAGCCGGAACGGUUCCAGCCGGAGCCUUACGGGCUCGAGGAUGAUAACCGCAGCCUGGGGGUCGAUGACGAAGGGUAUGAGCUGGAUCCGGAGUACUCGGUGGUGAACCGGAGAACAUCGGCCGGAAUGCCGGAGAGAGGGAGACCUCACAAGGGAAGCAGAGGCUACGAUGAUCCGAUCGAGUCUGAGAUUGCGGAUGAGAGGAUCCCGUACCUGCACGGCAGCUACGCCGCCCCCUUGGCCCAGCCGGAAAGGGGAAGCAUGGCCAGCAUCGACCGCCUGGGCAAGCGCUCCCCUUCCAUCGACAGCAUCCGUAAAGACCCCCGGUGGAGGGACCCUGACCUUCCGGAAGUCAUCGCCAUGCUCAGCCACCCCAUCGACCCGGUCAAGUCCAACGCAGCAGCGUACCUCCAGCACCUCUGCUACGAGAACGAUAAAAUUAAGAAGGACGUGCGGCACCUCAAAGGGAUUCCCAUUCUGGUGGGCUUGCUGGAUCACCCGAAGCCGGAGGUGCACCGCAAAGCUUGUGGGGCGCUCCGGAAUAUAUCCUAUGGAAAGGACAAUGAGAACAAAGUGGCGAUAAAAAACUGCGAUGGGAUUCCAGCUUUGAUCCGGUUAUUACGGAAGACGAAUGACAUGGAAGUGCGAGAACUCAUCACAGGUACCCUUUGGAACCUGUCAUCCUACGAGCCCCUCAAAAUGGUGAUCAUUAAUCAUGGUCUUCAGACACUGACCAACGAGGUGAUUAUUCCCCAUUCCGGCUGGGAGAAUGAGCCAAACGAAGACUCAAAGCCUCGAGAUGCUGAGUGGACAACUGUCUUCAAGAACACAUCGGGAUGUCUGAGGAAUGUCAGUUCAGAUGGAGCCGAAGCCCGCAGGAGGCUCCGUGAGUGUGAUGGCUUGGUGGAUGCUCUCCUUCACGCACUGCAGUCUGCGGUGGGCAAGAAAGACACCGACAACAAGUCCGUGGAGAAUUGCGUCUGCAUCAUGAGGAACCUCUCGUACCACGUCCACAAAGAAGUCCCAGGAGCUGACAAGUUCCAGGAACUCGAAGCCAACCAGCCUGGAGGGCUGGGAGGGAUGCAGAAGAAGAAGAAAGACGACGCGGGCUGUUUUGGUGGGAAGAAGGCCAAAGAAGAGUGGUUCAAUCAAGGGAAGAAGAAUGGAGAUGUGGACAGAAACUUUGAUACACUGGAUUUGCCUAAGCGGUCUGAAUCAGCAAAAGGCUUUCAAUUGCUUUACCAGCCAGAGGUGGUGCGGCUUUAUCUCUCCAUCCUCACAGAAAGUCAGAACUUCAACACUUUGGAAGCGGCAGCUGGCGCUUUGCAGAACCUCAGUGCUGGAAACUGGACAUGGUCCACGUACAUCCGGGCAACCGUGCGAAAGGAGAGGGGGCUGCCAGUCCUUGUAGAGCUCCUCCAGUCGGAUUCCGACAAGGUGGUGAGGGCCGUGUCCAUCGCUCUGAGGAAUCUUUCCAUGGACCGUCGCAACAAGGACCUCAUUGGUAGUUAUGCCAUGGGUGAACUGGUAAGAAAUUUGCCAAGCCGGCAGCAGAGGUCCUCAAAAAACCUGGAGGAGGACACUGUAGUCGCUGUGCUGAACACCAUCCAUGAAAUCAUUACCGACAGCUCCGAAAAUGCCCGGUCCCUGAUCCAAACUCAGGGCAUCCAGAAGCUGGUUGCCAUCAGCAAGUCGAGUCAGUCCUCCAGGGAAACAAAGGCAGCUUCUCACGUUCUUCAGAUGACUUGGAGUUACAAAGAACUACGGAGUGUUUUGCAGAAGGACGGAUGGAACAAAUCUCAUUUCCAGUCUGCGUCUUCUACUCCUAAGGGAUCCAAAGGUACUUCUUGCAAAUCUGGCUACGAUGACAGCACUCUGCCUCUGGUGGAUAAAAGCCAAGAAAAUGAGAAGACUGGAAGCCGGGAUAUGAUUCCCAUGGAUGAACUUGGGCCAGAUGGCUACUCCACCAUCGAUCACCGGGACAAGGAGCGGAAAUACAAGGCCAAUGACAACAUGGGGGAUGCGUCAGAGAAGGAACCGCUAAAGAGCGACAUGAGUAGGAAAACCCUUAACAGGAGUAACAGGGCUUCGGUGACUCUGCUGGAUGCCUGUGACCCUAAACCCCAGCCUGUUGACUCCUGGGUCUAAUUUGCAUGCAUGUUCUUGGGCAGACAGAAGCAAAUGUGGAAAGACGUGGCUCUUGUUUUGCUACCAAGGAGGCAGCCCAUGAGCCGUGGAGGAAAAACGAGGGUUAACGGGGUGCAGAAAGACACUUGCUUUUAGGUGCACUGAAACUGCUUCGAAGAAAGAGAAGAUGCUAUGAGGUUGCAGUCAGUGUUGUGAAGCAGGUUGAGGGCCAGGAUCAGAGCUAACAACGAGGUCGCUGCUUGAAGAGGGAAAAUACGUGGGUAAGUAAAAGAAAAUUAUGAGGGUAAAUAAAUACGAGCUCCUUGUUUUAUUUUCACAAGCACGAAAUGCAAGAGUAAAGAGGACAGCAUUGCUUUGUGAGAAGGGAAAACUUAUUCUGGUGAUGGGAAAUUAACCAUAUGGCCGUUGCUUUGUGGGAGAAAGUAGGAACCAAAAUAUCCAGGUAAAUAUGAGGUUGUUGCUCUAUGAGGGAAAACGCAAGAAGAAAUACCAGGUGUCCCCAAAAAUUUGACAUUAUUUGAAAGGCGAAUCUCUUAGGAACUACAUGUCCUAGGCAAACGAAAUUAAAUAGGCUUCAUGUUGAACAAUAAAAGAUUUAUUUAUCAGAGUUCGAACAAGAGAUUCAGAGGGAUGUAGGUUUUAUAACCGAUUUCACAAAGCUUCACAAAUGUUCAAUAUGCGCACCGCCUGUGACACGACACACGUCAAGUCGGUAAUCCACCUCCUGCCAAACACGCUGUAGCUUGUCUUGCAUACCAUUGCGUAACUAACAUUAGUUUUUACACAUUUUUGGUAAAAUUUGAGGUCAUUUGAACGAGAAUUGGCUAUGUUAUUAGACUACGAAAUGUCCAUUUUUGGGGGAUACCCUGUAUUUGGGGGUAAAACUGAGGCCACUGCCUUAUCAGGAAAAGGAUCACUCCUGUUGAUGGGGGACCCCAAUACUUCCACGGGGUCCCCCACAGUUGUAAAAGCUGCCCCCCGGCCCCCUUCACUGCAUUAAUCACCUUUGGCUCUUCUUUUUUCAGGGCUAAGGUCCAGCCGCUUGUUUUAUUAUGACGAUGACGAUUAUUUUUUCCUCAACUAAAA